UGACCUCAGGUGUCCUCUCAGGCUAGUCAGAGGUCUGGCGAGAAGCUGAGUAAAUCCCAGCCUUGGGUUCAGCCAAGCAAGCUUCAUAACAUACAAACACUUAAUACUAAUUUGGAUUUGUCCCACCCUGGCUAGUCAUCCCUUCUCAGAAACACUGACCAAAUCUGAAAAUCGCCUCCAGCUCUGCCGCUCAUGUAGGGACUCAUGUUUUCCAGCGUGGCGAGCUCAUUUCAGCGCCUCUCCCUGUGAAAGAUAUUUAUCACCGUGGUGGGCAUUCCUUUGUGUUAAAUUAAUCUUUCAAGAGUGAGUAAUGACCACAAGAGCUGGAGUCCUUCUCUUCUGUGGUGGGGAUGCAGUGGAGGAAUCCAGCCCAGCUUGGUCAGCAGAGCCGAGAUGGGGGAAGGCUGACAGAGCAGACUUAUUAUUUAGGAUGAAAUGCAGAAGUCUGGGAUUCUUCAAGAUUUUACCCAAACCUGAUAGUUCUAAGAAGAACAUUUCUAAGAAGUAUCACCUUCUGCUCCUGACUGCAAUUGUGGACAUCAAGAUGGGGUGGCGAGUCUAGUCAUGCCUGUGAUUCCUCUCCUUCCUUCCACAAACCUGACUACUCAACACAGUGGCACCAUCUGCAUAGAGGAAAGUACAGAAGUGCUCAGAAAUCAGUGGUAACAUGUCCAAAGGACUGAGGAGCCUCCUUGGAAGUCUUCUUAUGGGUCCGUCUUGCUCAGUUAAGCACAGUAAGAAAUCAUGAUAGCAUUGAAACUGAACACAUCAGCUAAAACAAAAUCUUCAAGACCAUAUUGACGCUGAUCCUGAGACCUUAAGGAAAACGCAGAAUUGUCAAUAAAGAGGGAUCUUCCAGUUGACCAUCCUGAUGGGACAGUGGAACCUAUUUCUCAAUGUAAAGGAAAAGAAACCCUAAAGUAAGAGUUAAUGCCAAGUUCUCAUCUCAGACUGAAGUGGAAGGGCUUCAGAGAAGGAAGAGAUGGAAGGGCAGGGAUGACCUGGAGAGGAGAUAGAGGUAGAACUACAUCCAGGUCAAAGGUCACACAAGGCAGCAAAGCAAAGGUAAGAAAGCAACUUCUCUGUGCAUUCAAGUGCUCUGCUAGGACUGGCCAGGCUGGAGGUGAGAAGCCAGGGUCAAUGAAGGGGCUUUGGCUUUACCUGUGGUCUGAGUGGCC